rnacentral:rRNA from 1 species
CCACCAGCUGCGAUCGUACGGCCAGUGAAGCUGAAGCCGAGUGGGACUGAGACAAGGCCCCAGGCCCUACGGGCGCAGCAGGCGCGAAACCUCUGCAAUGCGGGAAACCGUGACAGGGGGAUCCCAAGUGCUCAUGCAUUGCAUGGGCUGUUCUUUGGUCUAAGUAACCAGAGGAGUAAGGGCUGGGCAAGACCGGUGCCAGCCGCCGCGGUAAUACCGGCAGCUCAAGUGGUAGCCGCGAUUAUUGGGCCUAAAACGUUCGUAGCCGGAUAAGUAAGUCUUUGGUUAAAUCCUGCGACUCAACCGUGGGAAUUCUAGAGAUACUGCUCGUCUUGAGACCGGGAGAGGUUGGAGGUACUCCUAGGGUAGGGGUGAAAUCCUGUAAUCCUAGGGGGACCACCUGUGGCGAAGGCGUCCAACUGGAACGGGUCUGACGGUGAGGGACGAAACCUAGGGGAGCGAGCCGGAUUAGAUACCCGGGUAGUCCUAGGCGUAAAUGAUGCGAGUUAAGUGUGGGGGCAUCUACGAGAUGGCCCUGUGCUGUAGGGUAGCCGUUAAACUCGCUGCCUGGGGAGUACGGUCGCAAGGCUGAAACUUAAAGGAAUUGGCGGGGGAG